rnacentral:misc_RNA from 1 species
CUUCUUCUUCUUCUUCUUGUUUUUCUUUUUUUAAUGGAUUUUGAUGGGAAGGUUUUGUUCUUUAUGGUUUGAUGUAUAAUCCCCAUUGAGAAAAAUUAUAGGGAAAAAAAAAUUAUUCCACAAAACAAUAAUCAACAGUUUGAUAUUCAUGUCAUAUUUUCUUCCAAAACAUCGAUAAGCAAUGGUAUUAUACAGCUUUUCACAUGAUGGGUUAUGUUAUAAACCAACUGGCUUUCUGCGUAUUUGUUAAAUUUUGGGUUUUUGGCUAGAAACAAAAGAGUUGAAGGCAAUGAAGGACCUGGAAGUGAUGUAUUGACAACACCCAUUUCAAAGGAUCUGUGUCUGAAACCAGAAUCGAGGAGGUCUGGGAAAGUUCUCAACAAGAAGAGAAGCUAUGCACAGUUCCAUUUGGACUUGGGUCAAUCUGAUUUCAAUUUCCGUACAUGUUCCGCAUGUGGGGUUAAAUAUGCUCCUGGGGAAGAAGAGGAUGAGAAGAACCAUAAAACAUUUCACAGGAAUUACACUCACGGGUUUCAAUACAAGGGUUGCAGGAAUGAAAGGGUCGUUCAUAUGCCUUGCUCUGAGUUGGGGCGCAUUGUUUUGGUGUUAGGCAGUGACCCUCCUGCUCAGAGAAAUAAGGUACAGGAGGUUGUAAAGAUGAUGGAAAUUGAACUUGGUGGUGGAUGGAUUUUUCAUAAGCUCUGUAAGGUGUAUCUAUUUAUAUCUUCUCAGAGAGUUGCUGGUUGUCUAGUUGCUGAACCAAUAAAAGAAGCAUUCAAAGUCCUUCCUUGUUCAGUGGAUAAAAGAUCUGAUGCUACUAAAAAGAAUUCGAAAUCAGAUUCAACCACUCUUCGAUUUGGGGAAAUCAUAUUGCAGAGGGAAACCACAAAGAAAGCCCCCACUGUCAAUUCUCUUGAAGUGUUGGAUAGGAAGAGCAAUGGAGCUAUUGUCUGUGAAGAGAAAGCUGUGUCCGCUAUUUGUGGCAUUAGAGCAAUCUGGGUCACUCCCUCUAACAGAAGAAAGCGCAUUGCCGCCCAGUUACUGGAUGCUGUGAGUUCUUUUUGCUCCAUAUAUUACUGCCGCUGAUAUAAGCAAAGAAGAAAAUUGAUCAGGUAGAUGGAAUUCUUCACUCGUUAUUGAGAGGGUAGCCCACAAAAGCUUGAACCUGAACAAAUGUCAGCUCUCAACUUGUGAAAUUGAUUUUUGAGCUGCACUAUGCGGUUACAGUUUUAUUAAAUCCAGCAAUUGAAAAUUGGAGUUUAUAUGAGCUUGAUUGGUUGGCAUUUCCCUAUUUCAUAAAAUAAUGGAAAAUUUAUAAUUUGGUUCUUGGGUGUUGUCCUAUAUUAUAUUUAGUCUUUAGGUUUUGAGAAAUUAAUUAUUUAGUUCUUGAGUUUUGUAUUAUAUUAAACUUUAGUUUUCAGAUUUUGAGUAAUGAAUUAUUUAGUCCAUUUAAUUUUAAUAUAUAGAACAAUUUAAUUUCUAUAAUUUUAACGUUUAUAACAAUUUCAUCCAUUGAAAGAAUGAUUAAAUUGUCAAAUAUAUUAAAAUUACAGGAAUUAAAAUGUGAUAUAGUGUAAAAUUCAGAAAUUGAAUAAUUAAUUUUGAAAAUCUUAUGGACUAAAGUAUAAUAUAGUGUAAAAUCUAUGAAUUAAAUAAUUAAUUUCUAAAAUUUAGGGACUAAAGUGUAAUACAGGGUAAACCUUAGGUACUAAAUUGUAAAUUUCCCUAAAAUAACAAAGCAACUAUGAGUCAAUCUUUGAGAAGAGUCUUGAAUUUCUGGUCAAGGGAGUGAACCCAUAUCCAUUUAUCUUGUCAAUGAUUGAAAAACUGUUCAAGUGGCUUUUGGUUUGCAAUUUGGUUUACAUAAGUAGUGGUUGGUUCACUUAUUUUUCUCUGCAACCUAUGCAGGAAAAGUUUUUGUAUAGGUUUUACUCUGCAACAAUCUCAGAUAGCAUUCUCCCCACCAACGUCAGCAGGAAAGGCAUUGGCAUUCAGUUAUACUGGAACUGCAUCAUUCAUGGUGUACAAGCCUAAUGCUGUGGACAGUUGAAUGCCAUGAAGCUGCAAUUAUGGUGACUAGUAGUUAGGUGUUGCAGUUUUUAAUUAUAAUUUUGAUCACUAGCAGUUGGACAUUCAAAUGAUUCACAAGCAAGCAGUAGAAAAUAAAAAUGCCAACGAUUCACCUCAACCUUUACACAAAUGAAGCUUUUUAUAUAAAAAAAAAAAUGCGCAUAUGGAGA